rnacentral:tRNA from 1 species
GGAGUAUAGCUCAGUGGCAGAGAAUAUGAUUAGCAUACAUGAGGUACUGGGUUCAAUCCCCAGUACCUCCA